CAGGUUUCAAAAAUAUGUCAAACUAAGAUAAAGCAAGGUAUAUAGUAAAACAUGGACAUUAGGUCUCAUUGGCGUUGGUGACCACACUUGGUGGCGGUUCCGCAUGGUGAACACAUUUGAUGAAGGCUAACAGCGUAAUGCGGAGUUACUCUGGGGCAGGUAUGGCCUAGCACUUCACUGUGGGGCGGGCCAUCUAGCCGUUGGGUGGCAGGGUAGGUAAUGCUGUCUGUCCUAGCUCGGUUGGGGUGUAGUCUGAGCAUGUAUUAGGUGUCUGUGUGUAUAUUCGGGGAAUGCGUAAAUAUACCGGGUGCGGCGUGAGGUCUUGGGGGUGCCCCCUGACUAUGCAUUUCUGGUCUGUCUUGCAGGUUAGGUAGGCGGAGGGUGUCGUAUCAAUCUCAUGCGCCCCAGGGGACGAUAGGUGGUGCCUGCUCGAUCUUUGUUCUGUUAUCUUCUGGUCGUUCAGGUAGCGGUUAUGAGCUGCACGAAGUUGUUCGAGGAGAUGAGUCUCAGCCAGUAAAACCAGUUUGUCUGUUUUGGGACCGCUUCUAUUUAACAUAUUUAUAAAUGAUCUUUAAAUAGGCAUUGAAAGCCAUGUUUCAGUGUUUGCAGAUGACACAAAACUUUGUACAGUAAAGAAAAGUGAGCAGGAUAUUGCUUUGCUGCACGGGUAUUUGGAUAGAUUGGGGGACUUGGCACUAAAAUGGCAGAUGAAAUUUAACGUAGAGAAAUGCAAAGUUAUGCACUGGGGUCAAGAAUGCACGAGCUGCUUACAUCCUAAAUGGUAGUGAUUUAGGGAUAACCACACACGAGAAGGAUUUGGGAAUAGUUAUAGACAACAAAUUAGGCAGCAAUAAUCAAUGUCAAUCUGCAGUUGCUAAGGCCAGUAAGGUUUUGUCAUGUAUAAAUAGGGGCAUAAAUUCUCGGGAUGAAAAUAUAAUUUUGCCUCUCUACAAAUCACUGGUAAGACCACGCCUUGAAUAUGCUGUGCAAUUUUGGGCACCUGUUCUAAAGAAGGAUAUCAUGGCACUAGAAAAAGUGCAGAGAACAUUUUAGUUACGAAGAAAGGUUAACAUUUUUUAAUCUCUUUAGUUGGGAAAAAUAGCGCCUCAAAGGGGAUAUGAUAACACUAUACAAAUAUAUUCAGAGCCAGUACAAACCAUUAUCUGGAAAUCUAUUCAUAAACAGUGUCUAUAUUGGAAGCGCUUCAGACUAGGUUUUUUUUGCCUUUUUUUGGAUCAACAGCAAAAACAUAUGUGAGGAAGGCCGAACUUGAUGGACGCAAGUCUCUUUUCAGCUAUGUAACUAUGUAAUAACUAAUGCUGUGUAAACUCUGCAAUAAGGAUUAUAUUUACUAUAGAUACAUAUAUGUCUAUAUAAUGUAAAUAUGUCACUGUGGGGUUAACAGUAGCAGGGUAAUUUACUAAAAUGAGAAUUCAAAGUGAAUAUCAAAUUUAAGGCCAGAGUAGCCAAACUUAAAGCAGAGCUGACUUAAAGAAUUUUUGAUUUCGACUAUAUUGAUUUUAAAUUCACUUUGAAUUCACCUUAAAUUCUAAUUUUAAUGAAAAUCAAAGUACAUUAUGCAUAAACAACUAAACAUAUCAAUGCAUUGUAGAGUGCUACAGAAUCUGUUGGCAUUAUAUAAAUGGCAAUAAUAAUAAUGCACUUUAGGCAAACUAAGGUGCUGCAUCUUAACGCAAAUAGGAAAAAAAAAAAAAGCAGAAAAAUUGAUGAAAACACAUUUGUCAGCCGAGUUCUUCAAUCAUCGUACGGACUAUUUAUAAUGGGAACUCCAGGCACCACUACAGUGAGCAAUGGAAAAGCAGAGCCACCUCCCUACUGAAUGGAUAAGGAAGAGGCCUCAGCAUUUCUGUAUUCUGUUGCAAGAGCAGACAAUAAAGCAAAAUAAACAGAGGUAGCAGCAAAGUUGUUUAGAUACAGAAAAGACCACAAGAUGACACCCAAGAGCCUUCAGGCAGAAAUUAGAAUGGAAAUCCAAAUUGAAGGAUGAACAGAGCUACUGCUUGCACAAAGCAAGUGCCAGGUUUACCAGUCUUUAUAAGUUACCCACUCACUAUCCUGCUUGCAUGGGCUAGUGGAUUACAUAGUAAC